CUGCCCUGUCUGAACCCUGGCUUAUUCCAAGGGCCCUGCUUCCACCUCCUCAAACCCAGGGUUGCCUCCAGCCUGGACCUGCCGGGACGAGGAAGUUUACCACCUGCCAAUCACCCAUCCCAUGGCACAGCUCUGAUAGGACUCUACCUGUUUCUCAGGCCUGGUAGAGAUUUGCUGGCUUCAGGGACGUGGUGGGCAGGUCAGACAUGGCCUGCUCUGGAACCUGAGGAGAGGGACCCAGUACCAGCACUUUUGCCCACAGAUGGGGCUCAGAGAAGAAAAGUGAUUUUCCAGAUUUCACAGUUGGGGACCAACUGUUGGGACUGAAGUGCUGUCCAGUGGAGCCAACUGCUGCCUGCCUGGCCCUUCAUUUCCCACCUGGGGUUGCUACCUUUCACUCCUAGGCCUCUCCCUAGCAUCGUGGGACUUGGCAUGCCCACAAACCCAAGAUAAAUCACAGACUGGGACCUUACCAAGAAGACUCAGUUCACAGCCUGGGCAGCGCUCCCUGAUGGGAACUGGGCAGAGUUCGUUUUUAAAAGGAGUUGGAAGCGGGCUGGGGUUGUGGCUCAGUGGUAGAGCACUUGCCUAGCCCACG